UUGUUUUCGAAAAUAUCUUUUCAAAAAUAAAAAAUCAAAUAAGCUUUUGGAGUUUUAGAAAAUUGAAAAAAAACAAAUCAAAUGCAUUCAUAGCUACAAUGGGUCAGGAAAACGUUGAUUACAUAAUAUUCACCAAGCACUAUAUAGGAUUUGAUUAUUUAGAUAGAUUUUUGAACCAACAAGUUAUGGAGAAAUUGUAAGUACGCAGGAAAACGUUGUUAGACAUGGAUUCUAUUCUGAACAGCAGGAAAAAGUGUUACAU
rnacentral:lncRNA from 1 species